rnacentral:rRNA from 1 species
AUUGAACGCUGGCGGCAGGCCUAACACAUGCAAGUCGAGCGAGCGGCGGACGGGUGAGAAAUGUCUGGGAAACUGCCUGAUGGAGGGGGAUAACUACUGGAAACGGUAGAUAAUACCGCAUACCAUCAGAUGGGCCCAGAUGGGAUUAGCUAGUAGGUGGGGUAAUGGCGCACCUAGGCGACGAUCCCUAGCUGGUCGGAGAGGAUGACCAGCCACACUGGAACUGAGACACGGUCCAGACUCCUACGUGAGGCAGCAGUGGGGAAUAUUGCACAAUGGGCGCAAGCCUUAUGCAGCCAUGCCGCGUGUAUGACGCAGGCCUUCGGGUUGUAAAGUACUUUCAGCGAGGAGGCGUUACUCGCAGAAGAAGCACCGGCUAACUCCGUGCCAGCAGCCGCGGUAAUAC